CGCACACACCCCACAUCCCCCAACAGCCGCGGCAGCGGCUCCGCCACACGCACUCACCUGCAUUUCCUUAACGAGCCACUUGAUGGCUGACAGCAGUGAUGUGCGGGCUCCCGGUGCCGGCUCCCCAGGCCGGCUAAGGCGAGCCUGAUCAGGCGGGGGUGGAAGAGGAAGGAGACAGAGAAGUGAAGAAGGCAGAGGAGGUCCCAACAACAAGUCUCCAGAGCAACCCCCAACCCUGAUUUUGGCCUACACACAUUUGAAUUUCUUCUGGAGCACUCCUUUUUGAGGCAAAAUAAUUAUCUCUUUCAAAACAGUUACCUAGUAUGGAAAAUAUAAAAGUGUGCUUUUCAAAAUAUUAACUGGAAGCUUUUAACAAGAUGCAGCUGAGCGUGUCGAUAUCUGAUAUCUUUUUACUGCUAUAUGGGGUGUACAUCAACUUGAAACUCAUCUCUACUUGAAUUGAAUACUGGCAUCUCUUAGAAACAGUGCUCCCAGGGGCAAUUUUACUUGCCUCCACACAACUGCCUGGUGGUACCCUGGAAAAGAUUGCAGGACAGCCUCCCACUGAGAGCAAAGAGGAAUUACACUUCACUUUCCCUAUUGCCUAAUGGAAUUAAUGGAAUGCAAGUGUAUUUCAUGACUAUCUUAUUUUAGAAUUUUUCAUAUUGAUCAUCACCAUUAAAGUUGGCCUGAGGUGUCUUUCUUGACAUAGAUUAUAGAAAAAUAACAAAUCUAAAUUAUUCUCCAUUCACUACUUAGUCAUCUGCAAAUAAUAGGUUGUGUUUUAGUUUUGUUUUCAAGCAAAAAUAAACUUGCUCAUUUUGGUCUUUGAUGAUUAAAAAUAAAAUCUUUAGUUUCCUUUAUUAGCAAUUCAUGAUUAUAAAACUACAGCAAUAACGAAACACAAAGGAACAAGAUAGGUGUCAAUGCUUACUUGGCUCCCUUUUGUUUUAUGUACAUUUUAAUCAUGACUUGAUUUAGCCAUCAAGUCCAAACAAUUAUUUUAAUUGCUUGCUAUAAAUGCAAGAAAAUUUUAACAUUGCACAUUUAUUUUGGCUCGGUAAAAUGAUUGCAAUUAUGCAACAAAGAAAUCUUAACCUUUUGUCCUUUUUUUUCUCUAAAUGCUCUUCAAUUUAUUAGACCAUUGUGAAUAACUAUAAGUCAACAUUUAUUUGUUAGGCUUCCAAAAAUUAUAAGUUGUACAAGAACACUGAGCACUUAGAACUUAAAACUUAACAUUAAAAAAAAAUAAAGUCCAGAAAGAGGAUAGAAAGAACAGAUUAUUCCUGGCCAUAAAAUUAACUCCAAAAAUAAAUUCACGUUUCUGGAAUAUUCUAUAAUUAUCGCAAAUGAUUGUAUUAAUAAUAUGCAUUUAUAUAUGGAAAAAAAUUAGUAAAGCAUUUGCUCACAAUAGGUUGCUGAAGAAUGUAAAUAGGUUAUGAUUUUACAAUUGAGGGAUAGUUAACUGUAGAAGAUGCAACUAUAUGCAUUUUUUUAGUAUGCCAUAGUUGUCUAGAUCUUUUAUAUAUAAUUUCAUAAAAUACAAUUUUUAAAAAUGACAUUUAUCUGUACAUAAUAUAGUUUCCUUUCAUAAACUAUGUUCUAGACUUCUCCACCUUUUAUUUUCUUUACCAAAGUCAAAUGACUUGGAAAACAAGGUGUUUUCCAGCUACAUUAAGCAACUUUGAAAACUGGUAUUUCAUUCAUAUAGGAUAACUCUACACCAAUACAGCUUUAUAAGUCUUCAGAUUUGAAUAACAGUUCAUGUUUCUAGGUUUAAGGUUUGAACUUUAGAAGAUAUUUUUUCUCAAAAUAAUCGUGCAAACCUGGUGAUAGAAGUAUUAAUAUUCUCAUUGACAGAUAAAGUAUUCCAAUGCUUAUGUAAGAUUAUAUUUAAUGUGACAGAGCCAGAAAUAUUGACAAAAGCCUCUCAACUCUAAAUACAUUGCUCUUUUCACUAUAUGUGCUUUUAUAAUACCAAAAUUGCUAUGAUUAAAAAAAAAUCCUUAUUUUGUAGACUGACUCUUAUAGAAUGAAUCUCUUUGAAAUGAGCUCAGUUUGUUUUUAGGAGACAGACACAAAAAUCACUUCAGGUUUUAAGAAAUGCUGAUAGUAUAAAAAUAGCAACAUAUUAGAAUGUGAACAGGAUGUUCGGGAAGAAUCUAAGACUUAUUUUCUAUCAUCCAAAGAAAGUAGCAAGUCUUUUUAAUCUUUAUGUAGAUUAUAAAACUGUAAAUAAAUUGAUGCUGAAAUACUACUGUGCACAAUGUUGGUUUACUGAACUAAAUGUAAUUUACAAUAUUCAUAAAUAGAGUAAUGAAUUUUAGAAAGAUGUCAAAUUUAUGGCUAUUAAACAAUUUAUAGUUUGCAGGUUCUUCUUUCAACUGAUGACUCAACUUGAUGUGCUAUGUUCUUAUUGGGAAAAAAAAAAGUUUUAAAUAAAAGGGUUAGUAUUCUUCUGAGUAGGCAAAAUAUUCUUUCAGUGUUCAUAAUAAUGAAAUCUAUACCUGUCCAGAAUUUUAAAAGAUCCAUUGAAACUCAU